GUGUCAGCAGCCGCGGUAAUACAGAGGGUGCGAGCGUUAAUCGGAAUUACUGGGCGUAAAGCGUGCGUAGGUGGUUUAGUAAGUCAGAUGUGAAAUCCCCGGGCUCAACCUGGGAACUGCAUUUGAAACUAUUAAGCUAGAGUGUGGUAGAGGGAAGUGGAAUUUCCGGUGUAGCGGUGAAAUGCGUAGAUAUCGGAAGGAACAUCAGUGGCGAAGGCGACUUCCUGGACCAUAACUGACACUGAGGCACGAAAGCGUGGGGAGCAAACAGGAUUAGAUACCCGCGUAGUCC
rnacentral:rRNA from 1 species